rnacentral:rRNA from 1 species
CACGUAGUUGGCCGUCCCUUUCUGGUAAGAUACCGUCACAGUGUGAACUUUCCACUCUCACACUCGUUCUUCUCUUACAACAGAGCUUUACGAUCCGAAAACCUUCUUCACUCACGCGGCGUUGCUCGGUCAGACUUCCGUCCAUUGCCGAAGAUUCCCUACUGCUGCCUCCCGUAGGAGUCUGGGCCGUGUCUCAGUCCCAGUGUGGCCGAUCACCCUCUCAGGUCGGCUAUGUAUCGUCGCCUUGGUGAGCCGUUACCCCACCAACUAGCUAAUACAACGCAGGUCCAUCUGGUAGUGAUGCAAUUGCACCUUUUAAGCAAAUGUCAUGCAACAUCUACUGUUAUGCGGUAUUAGCUAUCGUUUCCAAUAGUUACUCCCCCGCUACCAGGCAGGUUACCUACGCGUUACUCACCCGUUCGCAACUCAUCCAGAGAAGCAAGCUCCUCCUUCAGCGUUUCUACUUGCAUGUAUUAGGCACGCCGCCAGCGUUCGUCCG